UCUCCCGCUUCUCCUCCCUGAGCGGGUUGCCUCGGUUCCAAGCUGAGGCGUUUUCCACCCCCGGUUUAGUUCCCCUUUUCCGGGGGUUUUUUAUU
rnacentral:ncRNA from 1 species